GAGUGGGAUUUCCUGAGCGCUGCAUUCGAGCGCAGGAGGAACUCCAGGCAGAGUCGAAGCUGCGUCCUUUACAUCUGUCACAUAGGAACUAAUAGCGUACUACACGAACACCGUCUGGAUCCCCCAUCAACUUUUACAACCUUUUGCGAAGUUUGUUACAAAACUUUCGGCAAGUUUAGUAACAUUCCGGGGAGUUAAUUCAUUUUUUUUUUGUGGAUAAUGGUCAAUGGAUAUUUCUAAUAGUUUUACAGCCGGAAUCAGUGCGCACGUGGAGGUUUUUCUCUUCUUUUACAAAAUCCUGCAAUUGUUUUUUGUUUUUUUUUUUUUGGAGGAUUUUGACUUGGUGGAUGUUUUUAGUGAGUGUUCUCACUUGGCAUGCUGGAAAUAAACUAUGUGGAGGAUUCUUACUCUCGUCUCCGUGAGCCCUCCGGCGAACGGAUGAAUCUGUGCUGGGAAUCCCGGGAUGCCCAUGCCUGUUGCGGAUACCGACAGAAGCACGCGAUCGCUCUGGAAUUCCCUUGCUCUUUCGCGGUUGCGGAUGAUUUGUGGAAUUUCUGGAAAUCGGAUUAUGGAUGAUACAGGCAUAGUUGAUCACCGAAGCAGUGAUGCACCAUUUAAAUAUACUUCUGCCUGACAGAGAUGACAAAAACCACCACCACCACCAGCAGCAGCAGCUGUGGAAGUGGAUUCCAGGAAAGCAGACACCCUCCACUUGCUUCACAUGGAUUCUUGCGGUUGAGGAGGAUGUAUGUUUUUUUGCGGUCAUGGAUGGAUUAAACCUACAGGAGGGAGAGAAGCUCUCAUAUGUGCUGUGAGACAGGUACACUUCAGAUGAUGUCACAUCACAGGGAAUCACGUGCUUCAUCUUGUUUUACCUUUCCUCCACCUGCUCAUGCUCUGUUUAAGCGAGAUUACCCAAAAGUACCCUGUUUUUUUUCCUCCAUGACAUCGUGUACUCCAAACUUUUUUUUUUGCACUUCUAAGAACCUGGACUGUGAGCCAAUGAACUCGAAAGAACACUUUGUUCAUUAAUAAUUAGGAAUACUUUUGUAUUUCAGAAUGGGAUUGAAAACAAGGACAUGGAGAAUUUGCUAGUCCAUUGGCUAUGUGUUUUGAUUGUUUGACUCACUUCAGUCUCACUUUCUCACCAUUUUUUGUUCUUAUUUGCCUGUUUGUUUGUUUUUCCAAAGCACAAAUGUACAAAAUAAAAGCGUUACAGUACUUGCCGAGAUAGUCACAUGCUUUUGUCGUAUUUUAAGUUUGGCAGAGGUGGGUUUUCCCCGUAUGUGAAAAUAUUGUUGUUUAGUGACCCAAGUCCUAGCCAACUUUAAUUAAUUACACUUGUCCGGCUUCCUUAUCUGCAGUCUAUAUAAGUGUGUGUGUGUGUAGGUGGAAGCAAAGCUGGAGCAGGUAGGACAGGUCUGUCCAGCCCAUAUCCUGUAUGAAUUACAUUGCCAUGACCAGGCUGAUCUACUCAUGUGCUUUUUGGAAAAAAAAAAAAUCCAGCAGCAUGUGAGUUUAGUUUAGGUAGUGAUACCAGCAGGUAUGUAAGUGGCACAUCUGGUGACUUCCUCCUCCUAAUGUUACAUAAUAGUGAUUGUAAUAGCUGGUUUGGCAUGGCCAUUUCUUACUUCCUUCACUUUGGAAAUCUUGGAACAGGUUCUCCACUUGGCAUCUCCACUUGCUUUAGAGGUUUUUCCUUAUCAUCUCUAGCUUUAGAGCUGGUUUAGAGAUGGUUUUCCCUUCAGAUAUCAGACCACUUAUUCUUUCACAAUACACCCAGUGCUUAACCAAACCAUGCUGCAAGACUCUCACUACAUCUGCAGCCAAUGUCUCAAUCCCCUCGUAACCAAAGACGGGCACCAGCUACUGUACAUGCUUAAUAACAAAUAAAGCUUCAAAUAACACCAGCUGGGACCUAUUGUGUUCUGGUCACAGGGAUCCUGGAGCCUAUACCAGAGGACAAUAACACACACACACAAUGUGAAAAAAUUAGAGAUGCCAAUCAGUCUACAACACAUGUUUUUGGAAUGGGGAUAAAACCAAAAUACCAGGAGGAAACCCCCGAAAUACGUACCUGGAGGAAACCAGAAGAAAACUCCCAAAACAUGGGGAGAAAAUGCGAACACACCACACACUGGGCAGAGCCAGAAAUCCAACCCCCAACCCUGGAGGACUGAGGAAAAAGUACUAAGCACUCAGCCACCAUAGAAAAGUGUAAAAAGAAAAAAAAGAAAGAAAAGUAAAACGUUUCUUGUGUAAUUUGUGUAUUUGAACAAAUAAAAAUGGCUUCUCAAAAUAAAGGGACUAUUCAUUCAUGAAAUCAUUCAUUCAUAUGCAUUUUCAGACAUUCAGUCAGACAACUAUGAAAUCCAUUCUACUGAGAGACAUUCAUACAAAAUGUGUUUUUUUCUUAAAAAACUCUGUAUGAGUAACUUCAAGCCAGCAGCAAAACCAGUUGAGUGAAAACGCAAAGGACCUUAAAGCAAAAAUGAUAAAACAUAAUUAGUUGCAUGCACUAGGCAACAGAACAAACCAAGAAACUCGAAAUUCUCUAAUGGCAAAUGUCCUGUUGCCGCUUACUG